rnacentral:rRNA from 1 species
GACGAACCGCGCGAACGUUGUUCGGAAUCACUGGGCUUAAAGGGCGCGUAGGCGGCUUGCCAAGUCAGGGGUGAAAUCCUGCAGCUUAACUGUAGAAGGGCCUUUGAUACUGGCGAGCUCGAGGGAGGGAGGGGUAUGUGGAACUUCCGGUGGAGCGGUGAAAUGCGUUGAUAUCGGAAGGAACGCCGGUGGCGAAAGCGACGUACUGGACCUCUUCUGACGCUGAGGCGCGAAAGCUAGGGGAGCAAACGGG